AAUGGAUAGAUGAAUGCAGAUGGAGAUAUUGUCAAUGCAUAAAAGAAUGGAAAUAGAUACUCAGGUGGUGUGCAAGACUAUUCAACCAGUGUCAGUCUUGGGUACGUUUGACCAAAUCAUUAAAGAAGCUUUAAGUUCCUCCAACGAAUUCAGCUUCAAAUUUGUGAAACAGUCUGCGAAUCAAGUUUUCUGUAACAUUGCUAGGGAAGUUGUUUCUAUGUCUAACUGUAAGAAAUGUUUGACCAUUCCAUCCAUCUUUAUUGUAAACGUUUCAGC